AUUUUCUGGCCUUGGUCAGGUGGUCAAUAAUAAGAAAACACGGGAAAGUGAACCAAUUUCUAUGAAUAUGGAAGUCUUGGAAAAGAUGUGCACAACCCUGGGUCUGAUCACCAUUUUCUUGAACACCUUGAGAUCUGAAUCCUUCUGAUACAGACUUUUACGGAGCUAGUUUGAGUGGAUUUCCAUUCCUUGAAAACAUAUUUCCUGCCUUGGACAACCAAGGAGAAGUUGCCAGCUGGAGAAACCAGGUGACGAGGAACCAACAGAAAACGAUGACAACACAAAGAAAACUAUCCUGGCCAUGUAGGAACUGCCUUUUGCUCCCCACCAUGAUUCUGAGGCUUCCCCAGCCGUGUGGAACUGUAAGUUCAAUUAAACCUCUUUUUCUUCCCAGUCUUGGGUAUGUCUUUAUCAGCAGUAUGAAAAUGGACUAAUACAGUAAAUUUGUACCAGUAGAGCGGGUGUUGCUGGAAAGAUACCUGAAAAUGUGGAAGUGACUUUGGAACUGGGUAACCGGGAGACAUUGGAACAGGUUAAAGGAUUCAGAAGACAGGAAAAUGUGAGAAAGUUUGCAACUUCCUCGAGACUUG
rnacentral:lncRNA from 10 species